UUAACUAUUAUAUAGUACUCAGACGACACUGAUAAAAAGGGCUUUGGGGUCCUCUGGCGGGCACUCACCAGCCGAAGCCGGUGGCCGGGCGUGAGCCCGACGGCCCGCCAAAGCAACAGGGUAAUAAUAACAUAGGGUGGAGAUCUACCCGUUAGGGCAGGAACUCUGUAAUGAUCCCUCCGCAGGUUCACCUACGGAGA
rnacentral:misc_RNA from 1 species